rnacentral:ncRNA from 11 species
AAGUCGUAACAAGGUUUCCGUUAACACACCUAGCGGAUAAAAGGGGCUGUUAAAAGCAGCUAACCCCUAGUGGCCUCAGUCGAUAGGGCUGAGAGACUGCGACACUGUCAAAUUGCCGGGAACUCCUGCUAAGCUGUUGAUACCGCUGACUCAGGGAAACCUUAGCUCAGCACCGAGGGGAAACUCACGGGUAUGGUAAGAACUCAACAGAUAGGGAUAAUCGGCAGCCAAGCGCUAAGGACUAGCAAUAGUCUAUGCGUGCAGUUCACAGACUAAAUGGCAGUGGGUUCGGCUCAGAGAGUCCGAGCUUAAGAUAUAGUCGGUCCCUACCGAAAGGUAGACUGUGGGAGGAAGCUCGUUCGGUGAGCGGAGAGCCCACAGUGGUCGAGUUAAUACCACUUCUCGCAAGGGAAGCGGCGGUCUUAGUCUGUUAAGGGCUUCAAGACUCGUCUCGCACUGGAGUAAACGAGAGGUGA